rnacentral:rRNA from 1 species
GGUAUCCGGGGAGACAGGUUGGUGGCAUGGUUGUCGUCAGCUCGUGUCGUGAGAUGUUGGGUUAAGUCCCGCAACGAGCGCAACCCUUAUUGCUAGUUACCAUCAUUGAGUUGGGGACUCUAGCGAGACUGCCAGCGAUAAGCUGGAGGAAGUGGGGAUGACGUCAAAUCAUCAUGCCCCUUAUGACCUGGGCUACAAACGUGAUACAAUGGCUGGAACAAAGGGAGGCGAAGGGGUGACCUGGAGCGAAACCCAAAAAUACAGUCUCAGUUCGGAUUGAAGUCUGCAACUCGACUUCAUGAAGUCGGAAUCGCUAGUAAUCGCGGAUCAGAACGCCGCGGUGAAUACGUUCUCGGGGUUU